CUGUAUCUUUCAGCUGCAGACCUUUUUUAAGAUGAACAUUUGUAGUUAGCCUCUUCAACCCUUUCUUCAAACUAAUUUCGUUUUCUUGCCUUCUGUCUACGCCAAAACUUGACCAAAAUGCAGCGCGUGUCUUUGUGUGUUUCCAUGGAUCUUUGUGCAUGUCUGUCUCCUUCUGACCUGUGUCUGUCCGGUGUCUCCUUCGCAUGUGCUUGUCUCGCUGUCAGUCCGCAUGUCUGCUUUCCAUCGCUGUCCCGCCAACUCAAACUUGACGGACAGGCCGCCGCUGUCGCCCGUCCGUGCGGUUGUUGAGCUCAGCUCGGUACCUCUUUGGCCCUACUCUAUCUCUCUCGGUCUUCUUGUCUUUUUUUUUCUCUUUCUUUUGUGAACACCUGAACUCCUCUGGCACACUGUUGCUUGUUCUGGGUUCUCUCUGCGGUCGCAUUCGGUCUCCUUCGAUUACAUUGCGUGAGCAGCUAAAAGCAGUGGAUGAUGGAAUGGGCACAGGAGAGUGAGUAUGAGGGGAAACGCAAGAAGCCUUGUGGAAGAUGAGAAGAUGAGAAACUUCUCUUUUCCUUUUCUGUUCCUCCUAAAUUUUCUUUACGGGAAUAAUGAAACCAUUAUCAUGUCCGCAAUUUUUGUUUUGUCUGUUUAGGCUAGGAAAGGGAAUUUCUCUCUGGAAUUUGCUCUUUAUUGCUGACUCAAGUCGCUAAGAACUUCGCUCGUUCCGACUCCUGCU
rnacentral:lncRNA from 1 species